UGGGCAUCUUUUUAAUUUUUUAAGACCUUUUUCGAAGGUAUGCUUAAAGAGGGGCUUGCGACACAUAGAGGGGGGGUAGGGUAAAAGCCUACCAAGACUAUGAUGUGUAGCAGGACUGAGAGGUCGAACAGCCACAUUGGGACUGAGACACGGCCCAAACUCCUACGGGAGGCAGCAGUAGGGAAUUUUCGGCAAUGGAGGAAACUCUGACCGAGCAACGCCGCGUGAACGAUGAAGUAUUUCGGUAUGUAAAGUUCUUUUAUUGAAGAAGAAAAAAUAGUGGAAAAACUAUAUUGACGCUAUUCAAUGAAUAAGCCCCGGCAAACUAUGUGCCAGCAGCCGCGGUAAUACAUAGGGGGCAAGCGUUAUCCGGAAUUAUUGGGCGUAAAGGGUGCGUAGGCGGUUUAAUAAGUCUGUAGUUUAAUUUCAGUGCUUAACACUGUCCUGCUAUAGAAACUAUUAGACUAGAGUGAGAUAGAGGUAAGCGGAAUUCCAUGUGUAGCGGUAAAAUGCGUAAAUAUAUGGAGGAACACCAGAGGCGUAGGCGGCUUACUGGGUCUUUACUGACGCUGAGGCACGAAAGCGUGGGGAGCAAACAGGAUUAGAUACCCUGGUAGUCCACGCCGUAAACGAUGAGUACUAAGUGUCGGGGAAACUCGGUACUGAAGUUAACACAUUAAGUACUCCGCCUGAGUAGUACGUACGCAAGUAUUGAAACUUAAAGGAAUUGACGGGACUCCGCACAAGCCGGUGGGAUCAUGUUGUUUAUUCGAAGAAUACACGAAAAACCCUUACCAGGUUCUUGACAUACUCUGCAAGCUAUAAGCAUAUAGGGGAGGGUUAUCAGGGAUACAGGUGGUGGCAUGGGUUGUCGGCCAGCUCG
rnacentral:rRNA from 1 species